UGUGUGGCAUCUUUCUAAACCUCUCCGACCGUCCGAGCUUCCAUAAUACCAUCCGAACUCCUCUAGCGGUCGGCCUUUCAAAGUGUCCGUCAGAUUCCUCUAAUAGACGAACUCCUAUCAUGCCAUCUGGACUUCUCUAAUAAUGAGCUCCUCCAUUCAUCGAUCAGACUGCUUCAAACACUCUCUGAGCUUCACUUUCAGCA
rnacentral:lncRNA from 1 species